UCGCUUGGAAUUUCCGCCUUGAGGGUCUAUUUUAAAGGGGCUGUAAAGCUAUGGCGAUAAACGCAUUGUGGAAUAGGCAGAGCGGACCCGGGGGCAGUGCCCGGCGCCUCCACCAUUAAAAGGCACCGGCAAGGGGCUUAUUCUAUGGGGGCGAACCAGGAUCGACGCAUGUAGUAAAGGCACUGUUUUCGCUCGGCAUGGUACCACCGACAUCGGGCCGUUGAGUAGUUGCAAAUGACAACACUGCUCCGGUUGCUGUCGCUGCUUAAUUGCAGUCACAAAAACCAAAUUAAAGUCCAGUAGGUUGAGCCCUGCUGGCGGGGUCUUGGGCGCACCUGGCAACAGAAGCGUCCUCU
rnacentral:tmRNA from 1 species